rnacentral:rRNA from 1 species
GACGAACGCUGGCGGCGUGCUUAACACAUGCAAGUCGAACGGUUCACGUCUUUCGGGGCGUGGAGAGUGGCGGACGGCUGAGUAACACGUGGGUGACCUGCCCUCGAGCGGGGGAUAACUGCCCGAAAGGGUGGCUAAUACCGCAGAUCUCCGUGCUUCGGUGUGCGGAGUGAACUUCCGGGGUUCGAGGAGGGGCCCGCGGCCUAUCAGCUUGUUGGUGGGGUGAUGGCCUACCAAGGCGACGACGGGUAGCCGGCCUGAGAGGGCGACCGGCCACACUGGGACUGAGACACGGCCCAGACUCCUACGGGAGGCAGCAGGUGGGGAAUCUUGCGCAAUGGGCGAAAGCCUGAACGCAGCGACGCCGCGU